rnacentral:lncRNA from 1 species
GUGGACAUGAGAAAACAAAUAAAGAAAACUCACCUGCAACUGGAAGGUCAGGAUCACAGUCCGAAGCAUGAGGCCUGUCUGGGCAGAAACACCUAAAAUGGUAGUUGCUGCUAUUAAACCCACAUUUGCCUCCACUCCUUUCGCAUACGCUGCAAUUACUUGCUGUCCAUUUCAACACGAACCCUCUUUCUACUAUCCUCUCAAUUCCUUCAUUUUCUCCUCUUCGAACAUCCACAGGCACCGACAAUUCUUCUUCACACACCUCCGAUGCACUACCCAGUAGAGGAUCCCCAUCAAAUAUCGACAAAAUUGGACCAGUAGUUUCUGUUUCUGUUUCACCAGAACAAUUAACCUUGUACUUCAGAAGUUUACUGUUACUACCACCAAGUAGUGAUGAAUUGCAACGAGAGAACAAGAUGAGUUCUGUCUGGUUUGAAAGUAUAUUGAACCGGUCAUCGGGUAGCGAUGUGUUCUUCAAUAGAUGAGGAACACAAGCGUUGCUUCUAUUUAAAAACGCAGCGUUUGAAACACGAAGAGUCUGGUUUGUGUAGUCGAUUUGGUGGAUAAUAUAACUAUCAUCUCGUAAUCUGAGAACUGGACGCCUAUUAUGACAAAAGAGAUUGAAUCCAGGGUAACCACAGAAAGAUUCUUGCUGGUCUUGAAUGUAGAAUGGGAAGGAUAUAGUUUGGCCAUCGCCACAAGUUCCGGUGACGUUGCAACUUAAGAACUGAGGAUCUACAUAUACACAUAUGGCCUUACUGGCUAAGAGAAGGAAAGUGAUUGUAAAUAGAUGAAUGAAUGGAGAGAAGGGUAUCAACGGCCAGUGCUGGUUCAUUUGGAGAUGCUGAUAUCAGUGUGGAGAUCGAAAGACAGAGAGAGGAUCAUUUUUUUUAUUGCAUUGGGAGAGGAGGCGAGGGCAAUAUAGUAAGGUGGUCGAGGCUUGAGAAGGAGGUGUUUGACUUGAUAAUUAAGGGCGACAAGUUGAUGGAGGAUUGGGCUGUCCCUUCAAUAGUCAAUGAUGAAUAAGGUAUCCGCCUUAUAACUUAGACUGUUGAAUCUAAGCCGAUGACCUUGUGAGUUGUGAAUAUGAAACUUCUGCAUAUUCUCCCUAACAAAAUUUGUAAUCCAAACGGGAGAGAGAAAAUAACAAAAGGAAAAUAUUCCUUCUAUCAAUUUUUUUUCCUCUAAAAAAAUUUUCCAAACAAAGCGUAAGAAUUAUUUUAUAAAAAAAAUUUACUUAGUUGAGUCUAUAUAAAUCAUAUGCUAAAUAUAUAAAUUUUAUAAAUUUCACCCUCAUUUUAUAUUAUGAAUUUUCGUUAACUUAAUUUAGAUAAAAAAAAUUAUUUUAAAAAUAAUAAUAACUACUAUAAUUAAUAAUAUUUUAAUAAAGGGGUUUUUUUUAAGUCUCAUAAGCUCCUCAACUAUGCAAGUUGAAAUAAAAAAUAAUUAUUAAUUUAUUAUCAUUUUUCAAAUCUUGAAUAAGAUCAACGAAAUUUCUUACAAAAUGGAUUGAAAUUCGUAGCUUAAUUGGAAAUUUUGUAAAUUAUUAGUCCGAACUAUCCCUAAAAUUAAAAAAUCAUAAAACCCUAUCAAACCCGUAAAUGGAGUCAAGUGGCUUUCAAUUUUUUGUUUUUGCUAUUUUAUAUACAAAACUACUUCGUUUUAUACAGGUAGAUUGUCAUUAUUUAGUAACAUAUGAUAAAGUAACAUGUUUUUUUUUUUUUAACUAACCAAGCAUAAUAUAAUUAUUUUUGGGUGGUCAUAUGAAAAUUAAUUAAAAAAUAAAAUGGUAUUUAAGUUAUAUUAAUUUAAUAUAUAUUAUUAAAGUUAAUAUUAAUGCACAUAAUAGCAUAAUAUAAUUAGUGAAAUCUUCAAAAUGAAUUCAGUUUAAACUUAAAUCCUUAAUUUUCUUCAUCUGUUCUAACAACUAAGUUGAGUUUAAAAGUACAUACUUCUAACUAAUUAAUUAUUUUUGAAAAAGGCGAGGAGGGAUUGAUGUCGCGCUCGAAAUCGACACCUUCAUUAUAGUUUUAUUAGAUUGUAGUUGAUAUGCACGACCUUUAUUGAGUUUAGUAGUCUCCAUAUGUAAUUUUCAUGUACGUACGAGUAUUGAAUAGGUCGACUUGAUCGUUUCAGAUAUUGAAAAAGUCACGAAUAUUAAUAUCUAGUCUAAUUUUUAUACUCUAUAAAUUAAACUUUUAUAAUUAAUUCAGUAGAAGAGUUUGCCCGUCUCUUUUAAAUCAUGUAUAUGUAUAUGUGUUAUAAUUUUAAUAAAUUUUAUUUUUUAUAUGUUAUAAGUUAAUGAUAAAUUAUAAUAUAAUUUUUUAUAUAUUUAUUUUUUGCACUUUUUUUAUAUGAAUUUUUUAAUAUUUAAUUUUAAAAGAAAAUUUAUUAAAUAAAAAAAAUAUCAAGAGUUUACUAAAAAUAUAUUUCAAUAAAGACUUUCGAAUGUUAAAUUAAAUAAUAAUGCUAAGUAGGAAAUAUAAAAAAAAUAAAUAGAAAGAAAAGAAAGAGAAAGUUAAAAAAAAUGGAGAUAGAAGGUCCUUAGCGUGAGGAAGAAGUUUCACUUAAUAGGGAGAGAGAAACUUUCUUUUUUAAGAUCUUUCCACCUUUAAAAGGAGGAAUUUCAUCAAUUUUGUCGGUUAUUGUUUUUGAAAAGGAGCUAGAAUAUUUAUUAGGAUAUUUAAAAGUGCGAUUAUUUUUUUAAAUAAAAUAAUAUUAUAAUUUUUAUAUAUUAUUGAUUUUAAAAUUUUAUUUAAUUAAUAAAAUAAUCAAUUACUCUAAACCUUUCCGCUUAAUAUUUUUUUUCAAAAGGACUACUAAAUAAAAUUUUUUUUCUGUCUAACUACUAUUUUAUUAACAUAAAGUGCCACCUAUCAUGAUUUUGUGUAAUUUAUAUUUAUAGAAGGUAAUAUAUUAUAGUAUGUAAAACCUAAAUAUUCAACAAUUAAUUUUCUUAAUUAGAAAUUACAAUUGCCAAUGGAUAUUCAUAUAAUCUGAAGUGCAUCCAACAUCAUUAGAGAUAGAAAAUUAAAAGAGAUUUAUACAGUGAGAUCAAAAUUAAACAUUUUGAAUCAAAAUGAAAAUUAUAUUUAAAAUUUAUUUGAAUUAAUUUUCAUAAAAAAGGUGCUUUUAUUUUCUUAAUUCUUUUUUAUGAGAAUUUAUUUUCAAAGAUAAUGAAUUGAAAGAAAAAAAGACGUGGGGGUAAUUCAAACCGACCACAAGCUCUUGUCUUCUCUAUUAUUUGCAGCGUCAAAUUCAUUAAAAAAAAAUGUGUUAAAACUGGAAAAAAAAGGUUGGAAGUCCAUAUUCAAUUUCUUCAAGAAAAUGAAAUGUAUUUUUUCUGAUUUUUAAAUUUAUCAUGUGGUAUUAUUUAUUAUUUUUUAUUUUACUUUUAUUUGUUAUUUUUUAAUAUUAAUUUUAUUUAUUUUUAAAAGUUAAAGAAUAUUAACUAAUUCUUUUCAAAUGUUACCCUUGCCUCUAUUAAAUAUAAUGACUACUUCUAUAAUUUAUUAAAUUUAUUUUAUUAAUUUUUUAAUAACUGAUUAAAAAAUUAAAAUCGAAGUAAUUAAAUGAGAUAAAAAGUAAUUUAAUCAAAUCAAGAAGCAGUUGAAUACAAUUUGAGUGAUUCAAUUGAAUUAUUAAUCAAUGUGUAAAAACAUUAAAUAUAUAAAAGUGGUCAAAAGGAAUAUUUCUUCCAUGUCAUAACAAAAGGGUUGACUUUUUGCAUUGCUUUUAAAUUGUAGACUACCUUCCAUUUUUAGAUGUUACUAUGUUCAUGCACUUUUCAAUUUAUCAUCACUUUUUUUAGAAUUAGAACACGUGAACUAUAAUAACAGAAUGAAAGUCAAAAUCACCAUAAUUUUGAUGCAGAAGGAAGGAUUAUAAGAGAAAUUCUCCAUUAGAUGUCGAGCAGUACAUGAAGAAGAGAAAUUCAGACGUUGAGGAAGUAGAAUACCCAGUUGUAGUCCUAGCUUCAAUCUCAAUUCUGCAACUGUGUUCAAAAUAUAAUUAUGCAGUCGGUUCAAAAGCUUAAUAGUUGAAUGAUGCAGAGCUUGGAAAUUUCAAAAAACGUAUACUUCGUAAAUAUAUGAUCAAAACGCAUACUCAUGAAUGUCCUGGUCACCGUCGGUCAUCCUUCCUACCGAUCUACAGAGUGGUUACAUUUGUUUAUGGUUGUUAGACUGUACUUAGUUUCAUGGAGGCUGGAAAGAUCCUACAUCGUUGAAGGACUCACAUGUCCUAGAAUAUUUCAACCCAAUUGAAAUUUGAAAAGAAAGAAAAAUCAAUAGUCAUUAACUUCAUUAGUACAAUCUCUAUAAUACAUGGAUAUGGUAUUUUAUCUGCUAAACACGUCAUACAUAGGAUUCAAAGAUAUUCUUGGCUCACAUUUUGUGGCCUCUCUAGCUGCCAAACAAAGAAGCACACACUUCUUUACCAGGGAGAUUUCACACUGUUAUGCCAGUUGUAGCUGUAGCUGAAGAAUUUAUCAAUGUUUGCGGAAAUGAUCUUAAUGGGGAAACCAAGGUCGGCCUAGGCGGCAUUUGCAAGGAUGUAAUGCUUCCCUGCAACAUUUCUACAACUCUACACAUUGAGGGACGGUUUAAGGGAUUCGUCUGUAUGCACCACAAGCCCACAAGGAUCAUUUUUCUUGCUAUUUGGUUUUCAUCUUCAUCGUCGAUCCCCAAAAAUCCAAGCUUUUCACCUUGUUCAAGGCUCUUGUAUAUCCCAUCUGGAAAAUAAAUCUCACUAGUAUUAUCAUCUUCCACCGAGCAGAUGUUUUUUCUUCUUCCAACCAUUUCUAGCACCAGCAUCCCAUAGCUAUAUACAUCAGCAAAAUACUUCAGGAGCAAUAUAUCCAGCAGUCCCUCUUGUACCCAUCAUUGAUAUGAUACUCUCUGUUUCAGGGCAUAUUUUAGCUAGGCCAAAAUCUGAAAUUUUAGGACAGAAGUUUUCGUCUAAAAGAAUGUUGUGAGGCUUUAUGUCAAAAUGUAAUAUCCUUGUAUUACAACCUCCGUGCAAGUAUUCUAAUCCCCGAGCAACGCCAAUUGCAAUGUCGUGCAGUGUUUCCAAUCCCAAUUUGCAAUUAGCUGUCGAGGGAUUUUCUUCAUAUAUAUACUUCUCAAGAGAUCCAUUGGACAUGAACUCAUAAAUUAGAGCCCGUUUUGCACCCUCAUAACAGAAUCCUAAAAGAUUAACAAUGUUGACGUGAGAUGUCCGACUAAUGCUUGCUACCUCGUUAACGAAUUCUUCUCCAUUACUUUUUGACUCCUUCAAGACCUUCACUGCCACAAGAAGACCAUCAGGUAACUUGCCUUUAAACACUCCUCCAUAGCCUCCUUGGCCUAGUUUAUCUUUGAAGUUCUCUGUCAUUUUCUUAACUUCUGUAUAUCUGUAUAUUGUCAGGGGCAUAUGUCCAUGGUUCUUGAGGAAGGCAUCAAUGCUUUUGGAGUCUCCUGUUUUCUUCUUCCAAAAGAAAAUGGAGUUGUCGGGUUUCAAUUUUCUUAUGCAACAACAUACAGCAAUCAUCACAAGAGCUAAAAUUGCACCUGUAGUAAACACACAAAUAAGGAACUAUAAGAACAAAACCAUUUAAUUAAGCUAUUGUAGGCAUGUUUAAUAUGAAAUGGAAAUAGGGGAAAAAAUCUCAAUAUACCAUCAUUUUCUAGACAAUUAAACAUUAUUUAUGGUAAUAUAAAGUUGAGCUAUAUUUUUUCAUUUUCAAACAGACAAGUUAUUUAAAUAUGGAAAUAUUUAAAUAGAGCAUUAAGAACAAACGCAUAAAGGAGAGAAAUUUUAGCCAAUAACUUACCUAAUGCCGGUCCUAGAUCCAUUCCCAAGCCCUUUGCUGCAUCAGAAUAACAAAGAAUUAUGAUGUUAAAAAAAAAUAAAAUAGAAAACGUAAGUUAUGCUGAGAAAAUUUACGUACUUUGAAAUAUCUAAUAAAAAAAACUGCAAGCAGCUUGUAUCCGAUAUAAAACUAAGUUUUCAGUGCAAAAUAUGUUCUCAUGUUCAACGAAAAAUGAAAUAAAAGAAACUGAUUCAGACCACAAGUCUAUCCCAAACCAGGGUUGUGUAACAUGUGCAGAAUCGUCAGAACUUAACACGCAGAGCAAUGAGCAGAGGAAUACCAUGUGUGCAAGUUUUUUUUUUCAGAGGCAUAACAAUUAGCAGUUAAAAUAUGUCAUUGUAAUUUCUAUUUCGAUUAUUGGGAAUAGCUGGCCUGCUUGUUGAUCCGAUUAAGGGUGUAAGCGGCCGUAAUAGGGCUAACGCUAAUCAUGUGGACAGUGAAAAAAGAAAAACUCACCUGCAUCUGCAGUAAGCAGGUCUAGACAGCUCCAAGCAUGAGACCGGUCUCCACAGAAACACCUAAAAUGGUAGGUGCUGUUAUCAAACCCACAUUUGCCUCCACUAGUUUCGCAUAUGCUGCAAUUACUUGCUGUCCAAUUUAGCACGAACCCUCUUUCUAGCAUCCUUUCAAGUCCUUCAUUUUCUCCUCUUUGAACAUCCACAGGCACCGUCAAUUCUUCUUCACAGACCUCUGAUGCACUACCCAGUAGAGAUCCCCAUCAAAUAUAGACAAAAUUGGACCAGUUUCAGUUUCUGUUUCACCAGAACAAUUAAUCUUGUACUUCAGAAGUUCACUGUUACUACCACCAAAUAGUGCUGAGUUGCAACGAGAGAACAGUAAGAGUUCUGUCUGGUUUGAUAACAGAUUGAACCGGCCGUCGUUGGGCAGUGAUGUGUUUUUCAAUAGAUGAGGAACACAAGCGUUGCUUGUAUUUAAAAAGGCAGCGUUUGAGAGACGAAGAGUCUGGUUUAUGUAGUCGAUUUGGUGGAUAAUAUAAUUAUCAUCAAGUAAUCUGAGAACUGGACGGCUAUUAAGACAAAAGAGAUUGAAUCCAGGGUAACCACAGAAGGAUUCUUGCUGGUCUUGAAUAAAGAAUGGGAAGGAUAUAAUUUGGCCAUCGCCACAAGUUCUGGUGACGCUGCAACUUAAGAACUGAGGAUCUACAUCUACACAUGCGGUCUUACUGGCUAAGAGAAGGAAAAUGAUUGUAAAUAGAUGAGUGAAUGGAGAGAAGGACAUUAACAAGUUUUGGUUCAUUUUGGGAAUGUUCACUACAGAGGGAGGAAGAUAGAGAGGAUAUUUUUAUAUCGUCGUCGGGUGAGCGGAGACGUGAGAUUGACUUUGAUAACAAAGAGCAACAAGUUGAUUGAAAUAUUUGUCUCUCAAUUAAUCAAAAAAAUAUUGAAGUCAACUCAAAGUGAUUUCACCUAUUUCCAGUUAUAUCUUUAGACUUUAGCUAGUUAGUUGCUAACAUGGACUGCUUAGAGGUUUAAACUCAUUUUAAAAUAAUCUCAAUCCAUCACCAAAUCAAGUUGCCUAUCUUAUCUAAUGCCAUGAAAUGACAGCCAUUUCUACAGAGAACAAAACAUACGUGUAAUAUGUGGACAAUGAGAAAACAAAUAAAGAAAACUCACCUGCAACUGGAAGGUCAGGAUCACAGCCCAAAGCAUGAGGCCGGUCUGGGCAGAAACACCUAAAAAGGUAAUUGAUGCUAUUAAACCCACAUUUGCCUCCACUACUUUCGCAUAUGCUGCAAUGACUAGCUGUCCAUUUCAACACGAACCCUCUUUCUACCAUCCUCUCAAUUCCUUCAUUUUCUCCUCUUCGAACAUCCACAGGCACCGCCAAUUCUUCUUCACACACCUCUGAUGCACUACCCAGUAGAGGAUCCCCAUCAAAUAUCGACAAAAUUGGACCAGUAGUUUCAGUUUCUGUUUCACCAGAACAAUUAACCUUGUACUUCAGAAGUGUACUGUUACUACCACCAAGUAGUGUUGAAUUGCAACGAGAGAACAAGAUGAGUUCUGUCUGGUUUGAAAGUAGAUUGAACCGGUCAUCGGGUAGCGAUGUGUUCUUCAAUAGAUGAGGAACACAAGCGUUGCUUGUAUUUAAAAACGCAGCGUUUGAAACACGAAGAGUCUGGUUUAUGUAGUCGAUUUGGUGGAUAAUAUAACUAUCAUCUCGUAAUCUGAGAACUGGACGGCUAUUAUGACAAAAGAGAUUGAAUCCAGGGUAACCACAGAAAGAUUCUUGCUGGUCUUGAAUGUAGAAUGGGAAGGAUAUAAUUUGGCCAUCGCCACAAGUUCCGGUGACGCUGCAACUUAAGAACUGAGGAUCUACAUAUACACAUAUGGCCUUACUGGCUAAGAGAAGGAAAGUGAUUGUAAAUAGAUGAAUGAAUGGAGAGAAGGACAUUAACAAGUUUUGGUUCAUUUUGGGAAUGUUCACUACAGAGGAGGAAGAUAGAGAGGAUAUUUUUAUUACGUUUAGAGGGGAGUAGAGGACGAUAUGGUCGUCGGGUGAGCGGAGACGUG